AUCGAGGCAAGCAUAGGGUUGGCCAUAGGCCAAAACACCCCAAUUUUGGGCUAAAAUCACCUUAAUAUUGCACCCAGCACCCAUUAGACCUCAUCACCAUGAUGCUGGGGGAUGCUUCCCUAUCCCAUUGCUCCCAUCCGGGCAGGAGCUGGGUUCUAAUGGACCCCAAUGGCUAGGAUGCUCCAUUGAACCUGCUAUAGAGCUUCCCCCAUCCCUUCCCUUCUCCGCCUCCUCUUCCCUUCACCCCAUCCCGGUUGGAUGGCUCAGGGAAUCCUGGAGGGAAUGACCGCGAGUAACCCCGCCGGUGACGUCAUGGAGGGGGCGGGGUUACACGCGACACGAUGCUGAGACCUUACGGGGGGGGGGGGAGGCCCCGUCGGGGCUGUCCCAUUACCGGUACCUUCAUCAUUGGGGUCCCGGUGUCCUGAACCCCUCCUAUUCCUAUUGGGAUCCCGCUUGUCCUCCAUUAUCCCCCGCACUGAUCCCACGCUCCAGCAGCUCCGCGUUCCCUCCCCAUACACCGGGCCCGGUACCCCCCAUCCCUUGCACCCCAACGCACCCAGCCCCGCUCCCUCCAUCCCCGGUACCGCAGCAACCAUGCACCGAGCACCGACCCCGCUCCGGAGCUCACGUCCCGGUCCCCGGUCCUAUGCCCGUGCCCCGAGCCCGGUGCCCGCAGUGAGCGCAGCACCGGAGCCGCCCGCUCGGGACUCACCGUCGAUGUCGCUCAGCAGCGCGGUGUCGAUGUCGUUGGCCCCGGAGAGGCCGAGGGACGGGGUCAGCCCCUCCAGGGCCGCGUCGUCGAAGGCGAGAGCGCUCAUCCCGGCGGCUCCGGUACCGGCUCCGGUACCGGCUCUAGGAGCGAUGGGGCCGCCCGCCCGUCACGGCCAUGGCCCCGAGAGGGAGGAAGGGGACGAGCCGCCAAGUUGCGAACCGUGCCCAGAGCGGAUCCCGGCGGGGGAGGGACGGGAGGGAGGGAGGUGGAUGGAGGCGGAUCCGCAGCCGAGGACCGCCCCGAGCCCGCCCCGCUGCACCGGGACCACCGCCAUGAACCUACCUGAAUAUACCCAACAGGGAGUCAGUCCCAUGGCAAACCAGCUGGGGCAGAGCUGGAUUGAACACAUGCUAAUCUGCAGCUACAAGGAGGAGAACCCCAUCUUUCAAGCUGUUCCACACACACCCCAUCCCCACAGCAGCUUUAAACCAGAGGCCAUGAAGUUCUGA
rnacentral:lncRNA from 1 species